rnacentral:rRNA from 1 species
UGGGGAAUCUUGCGCAAUGGGCGAAAGCCUGACGCAGCAACGCCGCGUGCGGGAUGAAGGCCUUCGGGUUGUAAACCGCUUUCAGUGGGGACGAACCAAGACGGUACCCACAGAAGAAGCCCCGGCCAACUACGUGCCAGCAGCCGCGGUAACACGUAGGGGGCAAGCGUUGUCCGGAUUCAUUGGGCGUAAAGAGCUCGUAGGCGGUUCGAUAAGUCGGGUGUGAAACCUCCAGGCUCAACCUGGAGACGCCACCCGAUACUGUCGUGACUAGAGUCCAGUAGGGGAGCGUGGAAUUCCUGGUGUAGCGGUGGAAUGCGUAGAGAUCGGGAAGAACAUCGGUGGCGAAGGCGGCUCGCUGGGCUGUUGCUGACGCUGAGGCGCGAAAGCGUGGGGAGCAAACAGGAUUAGAUACCCCUGUAGUCCCUGAGCGGGCUGGCAAGGCGCAU